rnacentral:rRNA from 1 species
AACGAACGCUGGCGGCAUGCCUAACACAUGCAAGUCGAACGAGACCUUUGGGUCUAGUGGCGCACGGGUGCGUAACGCGUGGGAAUCUGCCCUUGGGUUCGGAAUAACAGUGAGAAAUUGCUGCUAAUACCGGAUGAUGUCUUCGGACCAAAGAUUUAUCGCCCAGGGAUGAGCCCGCGUAGGAUUAGCUAGUUGGUGGGGUAAUGGCCUACCAAGGCGACGAUCCUUAGCUGGUCUGAGAGGAUGAUCAGCCACACUGGGACUGAGACACGGCCCAGACUCCUACGGGAGGCAGCAGUGGGGAAUAUUGGACAAUGGGCGCAAGCCUGAUCCAGCAAUGCCGCGUGAGUGAUGAAGGCCUUAGGGUUGUAAAGCUCUUUUACCAGGGAUGAUAAUGACAGUACCUGGAGAAUAAGCUCCGGCUAACUC